rnacentral:sRNA from 1 species
CCAGCCACCAUGGAAUUCCAGGCGGGGUUGCAGGCAGGUGGGUGCACCACCCACUCCACCACAACGCCACAACACCACCCACAUUCACCACUUAAGCCAAUUUUGAUAGCGGCUUAUUGAUGGCCGAGCGAAUGGCGAUUUGUGCGUUAGUCUCGCUCGAGCUCGCCGAUUGAAUCAGUGCGGAAAUGGGACGAGGACGAGAUCGAUGGGCAGUUCGUGGUCUGCAAUCUGUGCCCUUGUGCCCCUGUGCGACUCAGGCUAGCUGCUUCUAGCACUUGAUAUAUUGAAACGCCGGAUCGACAAGGCUUCAGAUGUGAGGAAAUGUCGACUGGCACUUCCUUUAGCGAGUAUUGUUAACCGCUGCUAUGCCCAUCAAUUAUGCCGGUAGGUUCCUUACAAACCUAUUGGCCUAUAAACUAAUCGCAUAAUUGCACAAAAGUAAUUAUCCUUGGGCUGAGCCCCGGCUAGCUCAUUGUGCAGCAACUAUGCGGCACAUUCUAUAUAUCCUAUCCUGCAUCCUUAGGCCCUAGUGCUUAGCCCUCAUACCCUGGCGCUCUGAUUUUUCCACCUUGCUGGCCAACUAUGCAGCUCAUCCGCUCCGCUGAACGCCGCCAGAAGGAAGUGCCGUACAGGCCGUACAGGACCAAAAUCGCAGGACGCAGACUGCGGUAUGCAGGACUCGGAUCGCUGCAAACCAGUUGAAAAAACACAACGGGCCGAAGAACACAAACACAAGGACAGCUCUUUGUUUGCAGAAAGCGAAAGAGAGGUGAAAUUAAAAUCAAGCUGUUGAUAGCAAUCACACGCUUCUUGGCUGCCCGAAAUGAAUAAGUGCUAUCCUUGUAUUGAGUAUACUAAGGCUCUCAGUAAGCUGACAUCUUGUUGAUUUCCUAAGGAGACCACAAUUUGGCGCACCGGCACUUCUCUCAGUGGACAUGUCCUGGCUGCCGUCUUUGCAACUCCGAUGGCGAUGCCGAGAGACAGGGAUGCAUGCAUCACUAGCCGUCACAUGACCAACUGCCUUGGCUUCCUGCUCUCGACCAAUCUGCGACUGUCAUCCAUCAUUCCAUUUACUGGAUGCUUGCCAUUUCUUUGGCUCCCGAAUCUCGGCCUCUUCAUCUGCAUCUCCUGAAACAAGGCGAAGUAGGGUAAAGUGAUGUAGUUAGGGUUGACAUCCUCAAGUGGCCCAGUGGCAUUGUUCGCCAAUUUGCGUUUGUCGAGCGUGCAGUAAUUAAGUUGAAGUUGCACAGUAGAUCCCCGAUAAGCAUGGGGAUCAGGAUACGGCCACGGUGGUUAGGGAUAAUCCGCAAGGAUCGAAAGAAUAUGGCCCCCGAUCUUUUGUGCCUCUUCUGAACAUCAAUCGGGGCAAUUGGAUUGACAUUAUCGUAUCGCAGGAUGAGGAUCUGGUGCGAAGUAAUUGUGACCCACGGUAAUUGAUUCGUAAUAUAACUCCUGAGUUAUUACAGAAUGAUCCUUUGAUAAUAAUUUGAAAACGAUCACAAGUAACAGUGCCACAGCACUGAAAUAGAUAUUCGAAGUCAUGAAGAUAAUCGUUGCCUUCUGCCUUUGAGCUACUCCU